UGAGGAAUAUUGGGCAAUGCCCGCAAGGGUGACCCAGCAACGCCGCGUGGAGGAUGAAUGUCGUAAGAUUGUAAACUCCUGUUAGAGGGGAAGAAUAGUACCGGUUGGACCGGUAUAUGACUGUACCCUCAGAGAACGCCCCGGCUAACUACGUGCCAGCAGCCGCGGUAAUACGUAGGGGGCAAGCGUUGUCCGGAUUUACUGGGUGUAAAGGGCGCGCAGGCGGGAUAAAAAGUCAGUGGUGAAAUCCUACAGCUUAACUGUAGAACUGCCUUUGAUACUUUUAAUCUUGAGUUCGGGAGAGAGAGACGGAAUUCCAGGUGCAGUGGUGAAAUACGUAGAUAUCUGGAAGAACACCAGUUGCGAAGGCGGUCUCUUGGUCCGACACUGACGCUGAGGCGCGAAAGCGUGGGGAGCAAACA
rnacentral:rRNA from 1 species